GCCGCGUGAGUGAAGAAGGCCUUCGGGUUGUAAAGCUCUUUCGGCCGGGAAAAAAUCGCAUGGGUUAAUACCCUGUGUGGAUGAUGGUACCGGAAUAAGAAGCACCGGCUAACUACGUGCCAGCAGCCGCGGUAAUACGUAGGGUGCGAGCGUUAAUCGGAAUUACUGGGCGUAAAGCGUGCGCAGGCGGUUUGAUAAGACAGGCGUGAAAUCCCCGGGCUCAACCUGGGAACUGCGUUUGUGACUGUCUCACUAGAGUACGGCAGAGGGGGGUGGAAUUCCACGUGUAGCAGUGAAAUGCGUAGAGAUGUGGAGGAACACCAAUGGCGAAGGCAGCCCCCUGGGUCGAUACUGACGCUCAUGCACGAAAGCGUGGGUAGCAAACAGGAUUAGAUACCCUGGUAGUCCACGCCCUAAACGAUGUCAACUAGGUGUUGGGUGGGUAAAACC
rnacentral:rRNA from 1 species